CUGGAACGUGUUGCUCGCCGUCUUAUCGACUAGGUGACACCGUUGCAGCGCGAGGCCCUCCCGUGUCGGCGGGAGAAUCAUCAGCUUCUCCGUAAAGCGUGCCACUGCUUUGGAGCUGAACCGACGACUCUCCCUUGGUCUCCUUAAUCCCCUCUUUGCAUUUCUUUUGGAUUCGGUUUCUUCGCUGCCCCCCUCUUUCUCGCUUUCCUUCGCCUUUCUUCUGUUUCACGAGUCAUGUCGACCCAGUCACUGCCCCUAUGGCGUAUGCCUGAAGUCGUCCUAUCGGACGGCCCGGACAAGCCCGGAGGCAGCUCCACCAGCUGCCGACGUCCCGUUCCCCGUCAUUUUCAAUCAAGACGACGUCGUCAUCGGCCCUGUGUUGCCCGAGCAGAUAGCGUCAACCAUCCUCUUUCUCUGGCCCCCAUGGCCCGCACCCUGGUUGCUGAAGCUUCUUCCGAUUUCUCUUCCGUCGGCCUCUUGGCCUGUUGCCGUGGCUCGGCUCCACUCCUGUAUCACCUACAUGAAUGAGCUCGGGUCCGGGUGACAUUCCGCGCACAAGACCGCAUCCGCGCAUGCCUUUCCAGCUUACGCUAGGCGCGUCGAGACUGAAUGCACAAGUGGCCUCGAAGCUACCACGGCUUUUUUCCGCUAUCGCGCUAUGCAGGACUCUAUUGCAAUAUUGGAGGACAUGUUUCCCCAAAACGCCAAUUGUAUAUUAAUAAUAUACUGAGCUGUUUUCGUCAAUGCUUCCAAGUUUGAAAAAUAAAGGCGAGGAUGCAUCCUUGAGGCUUCCUAAGUCGCUACUCAAGGAUCUAAAACGCGGUCGACAACACAGGCUCUGUUUCACAGAGUGGGAGUAAUGACUCACGAGACAAAACACCUGAGUUACUGUUAGGAGAAUAAUUAUCCCGUUUAAAUUAAUUACUUCCUUUGACGCAUGAAUUACGAUACGCACCCGACGGGUUGUUGAGUAGCAGCUCGAGCUGGCCUUGGCAGCAUCUUCAACGGUCAAAAUCCAAAGCUCGAACGCAGACUCGUCCAGCAUAGCCGGUAACUUUCUAGCCCAUCGAGACGGUAGCGAUUCAACGGGCCAGGUCUAACUUGACGGCGACCAUGAUAUCCGACCGAGACUUGUUCAGCAUCGUCAUCUUUCUAAGCACCGCAUCCAUGCUUCUGAUUCUGCUCAACCACUUUCUCGAGACUGGUGCGACAGCCGAAUCAGCUGGCGGCAUGAAGCCAAGUGAGCGAGUUGAGGGCGGGUCAGCCGCUGGAACAAGGAUAGUUCAUGCCGCUCGAUGUAACAUCCAUCGAACAUAGCAUUAGGAUCUCCGUGUACUCGCCGGCACUUGGCGCGGACAGUUGAUUAUGGCGUUAUCCCAAAACUUCAACGUUUCCGAGUCCUGAAUGGCAAGCCUGCGAUUUAGAAAAACAUCGAAUACCCCGAGCACGUAACAAGAUACUCCGAAUCCAACUCUGCCG
rnacentral:lncRNA from 1 species